GACAGAGGUGCCAAGCGUUAGGCGGAAUCACUGGGCUUAAAGCGUGUGUAGGCGGAUUUGUAAGUACCUUGUGAAAUCCCACGGCUCAACCGUGGAACUGCUCGGUAUACUGCUUAUCUUGAGCCGCUUAGGGGCUACCGGAACAAAUGGUGGAGCGGUGAAAUGCGUAGAUAUCAUUUGGAACGCCAAUGGUGAAAACAGGUAGCUGGGAGUGUGCUGACGCUGAGACACGAAAGCCAGGGGAGCGAACGGG
rnacentral:rRNA from 1 species